GUCAGACAUUGGGAUGGCAUUUAGCUCGGCAGCAGCAGCUUCUCCAUCAUCACUGAACACAACUGAACUCCGUUUUUAUUUAAAUGAGGAGCUGUUUGAUAGAUACCAUUGAUCCCACUGUUCAACAACCAAAUGCUGAUAUAGUUGGCACUUAGUGGCACACAUUAAUGAACUGAACUAUGUUAAUGAAAUGUGUCAUCUUCUCUGACCGCUGACAUGCUGUGUGGCUACACAGCAUGUCAGCAGCAGCCUGCUCUCCGUGCAGGAUAACAUCCACAUUUGAUGAUUUUCCAACUUUUACUAAAUCAUUAAUAAUUAGAUGCUAAAAUCAUAACAUUCAAUCCAUUUCUACAUAGGCACUCUUUAAAAAAAAAGAAAAAAAUAAUUAAAAUACCACUGAGCCAUCAGCUAUUCUGGAUUGCACAACCUCAUCUCAAACAGGCUGGGCUUUGAAACAGUUUUCUUUACCUUGUAGGCCUUGAUUAGCUCCUCUGUUUUUCACCAAGAUAGAGAAUGAGGCCUCUGAUCACAGCCUCUCUUCAGGACUCAAUGCUGUUGUGCUAUAAAAAAAGAAAGGAGAUCAUGCUAAGUACAAACAUCAGAAUGCUAAUAUAUAACUAACUAUUUAACUGCAAUAAGUACAUGCCUCAUUUACCAUGUCACGGGUCUCAUCAAGUUUCUUCCCAACAGCUUAGAGGCUCAACAGCCUGGGUGUGUAUUGGUCCAACUUCCCCAGUAAUGUGAACUGUAGUGGCUUUAGUGUGAUCCUCCAUAAUUCAUCCUUGAUCUGCAAAAGAGGUCAGAAGUGAGAUUGUAGCAGGAUAAGCAUUUUGUCUUGUUUCCCCUCUUGUCCUUUGUUUACAUUUGGUUACUAUGGUUUCCGCUAUGCAUUGGGGUGGGCCAGUAUAAAAGCGGUAGUCUGCCCACCGGUUCGUCCUCUCAUCAUUUCCGGGUCGGCGGUUGUGUGCCCGACAGGGCGAUCGUGUGCUGCUGUGUGCUUCCUGUCCGUGUGCGCCGCUGUGAUUGUUUGGCGGUGUUGCUGUAGGCCGGUGGUGGCGUUGCUGGUGACCUGGUGGUGGCAUCCUCCCUUGUCUUGUCUUGCUGUGUCCCUUGGAGUGGGUUUUUCUUCACUGAGAGUGUGUCUGCCACGUGUGCCCGGUGACUUAAGUUUGUUUCUUUAUUUUGGUGGAUUCCUCCCCUGCACUAGCCUUCGUCCAUCCACUUUGGCCUCAGCCCUGAUUAGGUUUGUUUUUUGUGUGAAUGAGUUAAUUGAUUUUUAAGAAUAUAUUAAAAUAAAAUGCAUUUUAAAACUUUGAACCACGUCUCUCGCCUUUAAGUAACUACGAACCUGUGUGCCUUGCGUAAGAAAAUAAUUCUCUGGGUGAAAUUCCCAGGGUGGCGUUGUUGAGCUUUUAGUAUUUUUCCUUUCUUUUCACCUCCUCCUUGCCACAAGAUGGAGAAAUAUCUUGAGAUACAGAAAAAAAGAAUAACAGAGACACAGAGCAACAAAAACAGAACAGAGUCAUGCAUUUUAUUCUGACAGCCUCAUCAGGCUUACUUUUGCUGCAUUUUAGACUGGGCUGUCACGACAUUUUUUUCAGUGAAAGACCAGAAUCUCUGCCCCCAAAAAUUACUUUUUGUCUGGUCCAUAAACUGAAAUAAUCUAACAUGUGUCCACUUUCCCCACAACAAUUGUUUUUGCAUACCUUCACCAGUGUGCUUGACAUGAUAAAUCAUCUGAUAAGCACACAAUGACAUAGUAACUGACCACUAAAGAGAUCGCCUAUGCAGCACGCAUCUCACUCUGCCCCCUGUACAGUGGGCUCUCUAUUUGAGAACUCAG
ensembl:lncRNA